UGAACAACUGUUUUUGUGCCGGUCUCAAAACGCGGGGGCCAUUUUACUAGUUCUCAGGAAACUAUCAAAAUCCCACAAAUUCUACAAAAAAUUCAGCAUUUUUAUUUAUUUAUUCAAACUUUUAAAGGCUUUCCGUCGCUUAAUCAACCGACUUCAGCACCAAUCCAAACUCUUAAUUUCCAUUCACAUUUUUCAAAAUUAAAUUUAUUUAAUUAUUAAUUUUCCUUCUGUGUGUGAUUUGGGAGGCUGUUUCUGAAGAUGGAAAUCGAGGAAAAACAAGCAGAGGUAAUUGAUCAUUUCGUGAAGCAAGCAUCAGCUCAGAAGGGCUCGGCCCUUGGCUCCGUUGUCGUUGAAGCGACGUCGCAUCCUUCACUUUUCGCCUUCUCUGAGAUUCUUGCUGUGCCCACUGUCGCUGAGCUAGAAGGAACUGACAAUUCGGUGCACCUUGAGGUGCUUCGAUUGUUUGCACAUGGAACAUGGAGCGAUUAUAAGAGAAAUAGCUGUAAGCUUCCUCAACUGGUCCCAGAUCAAGUUCUCAAGUUAAAGCAACUUACUGUCCUUACACUUGCUGAGACAAAAAAGGUACUAUCUUAUGAUCAGCUAAUGCUGGAGUUAGAUGUCACAAAUGUCCGUGAACUUGAAGAUUUUCUAAUCAAUGACUGCAUGUAUGCUGGUCUAGUUAGAGGAAAGCUGGAUCAGCUGCGAAGAUAUUUUGAGGUUCAAUUUGCUGCUGGGAGGGAUUUGAGGCCAGGACAACUUGGAAGUAUGAUACAAACACUAUCAAACUGGUUGGCUACGUCAGAUAACUUACUUGUCACAAUUCAAGACAAGAUAAAAUGGGCUGAUACAAUGAGUGAGUUGGACAAGAAACACCGAAAGGAGCUUGAAGAUAGGGUGCUGGAAGUAAAGAAAGCUGUCUCCGUCAAGGAGGGGUGGUCAUGGGAAAGAGAGUUCUUUAAUUCUUCCAAAAAUGCUUAGACAGAAAAAGUUUGGAGCUUAAAGCUGCAACUUGUUAAGAUGCAAAUGAGUGAGCUUAACUGGAUCUAGGAUUAGCAUGCCAUGACUUUACUCGUUCGAUAUCGAGGUAUGUUGGUCGAUGAGGCUUAUAUUGUGCCAGAAGUUACAGACUGCAAGCAGGCCAAUACUGGCUUCCAAGGGCUCAAUGAAAUCAACUCUGAACCUGGUGGAAUGAUGGACUUUGAGGAAGACCAGAGCCGACACAAGAGGAGAAGGCAUCUGAUGUCCUGAAGAUAGAACAUGCAACUUAUUGGACGGCGUUUAGAAGACCAACCAGAUUUUUGUUCACGAUAGUCCCAGUAACCAAUGAUUCUGCUUUUCAGGCAGUGAUAGUGCUGCUUUGGUAGUGAAUUUGACAAUUGUGGCGUUAUAAUUUCAGAAUUGUUAGCAUAUCGUAAACCCAUUGCUAUUCCUAUUGAGUUGGGAAAGAUAGGACAAAACACAGACCCAAAAUUUAGAACACUUAGAUAUCCAAGAUUUACAAAUUCAAGUUAUUUCACUUUUUAAUCAUGCACUUCAUGCUGCAUCAUGAAGAUUAUAUCAUUGCUUAUUGCUUUGUAUGGCUGAUAGUUCCAUUAUGUUAGAAAAGUUGGACUUGAGCGUUCUUGUUUCCCAUACUUUGUUUAUCGGGGCUGCCUGAUCUAAUCUUUGAAUGCAACAGUGCAGUAUGACUCGGCCAUUCUAGGGUCCAUUGAGAAACUCAAACCACCCAGAGGGAGGAAACCGAGUGGAAGCUGCUUUGGACUUGCGUCAUACGGCAUUGGAGUUUUGAUCAUUCUCUGGCUGCCACUUUGCUUUUAUAA